AUUGAACGCUGGCGGCAUGCCUUACACAUGCAAGUCGAACGGCAGCACGGGAGCAAUCCUGGUGGCGAGUGGCGAACGGGUGAGUAAUAUAUCGGAACGUGCCCAGUCGUGGGGAUAACGUAGCGAAAGCUACGCUAAUACCGCAUACGAUCUAUGGAUGAAAGCGGGGGGAUCGCAAGACCUCGCGCGAUUGGAGCGGCCGAUAUCAGAUUAGGUAGUUGGUGAGGUAAAGGCUCACCAGGCCGACGAUCUGUAGCUGGUCUGAGAGGACGACCAGCCACACUGGGACUGAGACACGGCCCAGACUCCUACGGGAGGCAGCAGUGGGGAAUUUUGGACAAUGGGCGCAAGCCUGAUCCAGCAAUGCCGCGUGCAGGAUGAAGGCCUUCGGU
rnacentral:rRNA from 1 species